rnacentral:rRNA from 2 species
UGUGUUAGUGGAAGCGUCUGGAAAGGCGCGCGAUACAGGGUGACAGCCCCGUACACAAAAGCGCAUGUGCUGUGAGCUCGAUGAGUAGGGCGGGACACGUGGUAUCCUGUCUGAAUAUGGGGGGACCAUCCUCCAAGGCUAAAUACUCCUGACUGACCGAUAGUGAACCAGUACCGUGAGGGAAAGGCGAAAAGAACCCCGGCGAGGGGAGUGAAAAAGAACCUGAAACCGUGUACGUACAAGCAGUGGGAGCCCCACCACUAAGCCAGUGGUGAACUCCACAUACGCAUCCUUUGCUGAGGAUACGGUUAACGGAGCGAAAGCGACGUUCAACCUCAAAAGAAGCAGAGGGGGCUUAGUGGUGGGGUGACUGCGUACCUUUUGUAUAAUGGGUCAGCGACUUAUAUUCUGUAGCAAGGUUAACCGAAUAGGGGAGCCGGAGGGAAACCGAGUCUUAACCGGGCGUUAAGUUGCAGGGUAUAGACCCGAAACCCGGUGAUCUAGCCAUGGGCAGGUUGAAGGUUGGGUAACACUAACUGGAGGACCGAACCGACUAAUGUUGAAAAAUUAGCGGAUGACCUGUGGCUGGGGGUGAAAGGCCAAUCAAACCGGGAGAUAGCUGGUUCUCCCCGAAAGCUAUUUAGGUAGCGCCUCGUGAAUUCAUCUCCGGGGGUAGAGCACUGUUUCGGCUAGGGGGCCAUCCCGGCUUACCAACCCGAUGCAAACUGCGAAUACCGGAGAAUGUUAUCACGGGAGACACACGGCGGGUGCUAACGUCCGUCGUGAAGAGGGAAACAACCCAGACCGCCAGCUAAGGUCCCAAAGUCAUGGUUAAGUGGGAAACGAUGUGGGAAGGCCCAGACAGCCAGGAUGUUGGCUUAGAAGCAGCCAUCAUUUAAAGAAAGCGUAAUAGCUCACUGGUCGAGUCGGCCUGCGCGGAAGAUGUAACGGGGCUAAACCAUG